rnacentral:tRNA from 1 species
GCGCCUGUAGCUCAGAGGAUAGAGUGACGGCCUCCGGAGCCGUAGGUCGGGCGUUCGAAUCGCCCCAGGCGCGCCA